ACUUAAAUAGCUUAAAUUUUAAAGUUUGAUAUUGAAGAUAUCAUGAUGAGUAUUUUACUCUUUGAGUA
rnacentral:tRNA from 1 species